UAUGCUCUUCCGAUGUCUGGCAACGAAGGUAGUGGGGGUGGUUCAUUUCACGGCCGGUUAUUUAUCUCACUUUGUGGCCGCCAGGCCGGCGUUGUGAUCGAGGGAUGGAUAAUCGACGCGUGCGCAAUGCAGCGCCAACCUAAUAAUAAUAUUAUUAUUGUUAUUGCAAGUAAUGAAUCGUUAUGAAUGAAAGUAGUUAAUAUAAAUAUUAGUAUGAUAUAAUUAUUAUGGAUGAUAUAUGUAUGGAGACUGGAGGCAAAGAGUAUCAUCUCCGUUUCCUAUUUUCAGCCGUCAUGAUUAAAAUUUAUGGUUUACUUAUCAAAUUAUGGAAUACUUGCAUUGCUUGCGUUUGAAUUAAUUCAGGCGGUGACCUAACCGAAUAAACCACCAAGUUUGAUUAAACCCCAAGCGGGGCUAUAACUUAAAUAUUAGAAAAAAAUGUAAACAAAUUAUCUAUAUCAAUCUCGUUGAUUUGAAGGAAAAGAAAAUAUAAAUUUCAUGUGUAU